rnacentral:rRNA from 1 species
AACGAACGCUGGCGGCGUGGAUAAGACAUGCAAGUCGAACGAGAGAAUUGCUAGCUUGCUAAUAAUUCUCUAGUGGCGCACGGGUGAGUAACACGUGAGUAACCUGCCCCCGAGAGCGGGAUAGCCCUGGGAAACUGGGAUUAAUACCGCAUAGUAUCGAAAGAUUAAAGCAGCAAUGCGCUUGGGGAUGGGCUCGCGGCCUAUUAGUUAGUUGGUGAGGUAACGGCUCACCAAGGCGAUGACGGGUAGCCGGUCUGAGAGGAUGUCCGGCCACACUGGAACUGAGACACGGUCCAGACACCUACGGGUGGCAGCAGUCGAGAAUCAUUCACAAUGGGGGAAACCCUGAUGGUGCGACGCCGCGUGGGGGAAUGAAGGUCUUCGGAUUGUAAACCCCUGUCAUGUGGGAGCAAAUUAAAAAGAUAGUACCACAAGAGGAAGAGACGGCUAACUCUGUGCCAGCAGCCGCGGUAAUACAGAGGUCUCAAGCGUUGUUCGGAAUCACUGGGCGUAAAGCGUGCGUAGGCUGUUUCGUAAGUCGUGUGUGAAAGGCGCGGGCUCAACCCGCGGACGGCACAUGAUACUGCGAGACUAGAGUAAUGGAGGGGGAACCGGAAUUCUCGGUGUAGCAGUGAAAUGCGUAGAUAUCGAGAGGAACACUCGUGGCGAAGGCGGGUUCCUGGACAUUAACUGACGCUGAGGCACGAAGGCCAGGGGAGCGAAAGGGAUUAGAUACCCCUGUAGUCCUGGCAGUAAACGGUGCACGCUGGGUGUGCGGGGAAUCGACCCCCUGCGUGCGGGAGCUAACGCGUUAAGCGUGCCGCCUGGGGAGUACGGUCGCAAGAUUAAAACUCAAAGAAAUUGACGGGGACCCGCACAAGCGGUGGAGUAUGUGGCUUAAUUCGAUGCAACGCGAAGAACCUUACCUGGGCUUGACAUGUAAUGAACAACAUGUGAAAGCAUGCGGCUCUUCGGAGGCGUUACACAGGUGCUGCAUGGCCGUCGUCAGCUCGUGUCGUGAGAUGUUUGGUUAAGUCCAGCAACGAGCGCAACCCCUGUUGCCAGUUACCAGCACGUGAAGGUGGGGACUCUGGCGAGACUGCCCAGAUCAACUGGGAGGAAGGUGGGGACGACGUCAGGUCAGUAUGGCCCUUAUGCCCAGGGCUGCACACGUACUACAAUGCCCAGUACAGAGGGGGCCGAAGCCGCGAGGCGGAGGAAAUCCUGAAAACUGGGCCCAGUUCGGACUGUAGGCUGCAACCCGCCUACACGAAGCCGGAAUCGCUAGUAAUGGCGCAUCAGCUACGGCGCCGUGAAUACGUUCCCGGGUCUUGCACUCGCCGCCCGUC